AUUGAACGCUGGCGGCAGGCCUAACACAUGCAAGUCGAGCGCGAAAGGCCUUCGGGCUGAGUAGAGCGGCGGACGGGUGAGUAACGCGUAGGAAUCUACCUGGUAGUGGGGGACAACAUGGUGAAAACCAUGCUAAUACCGCAUACGCCCUAUGGGGGAAAGCGGGGGACCUUCGGGCCUCGCGCUAUCAGAUGAGCCUGCGUAGGAUUAGCUUGUUGGUGAGGUAAAGGCUCACCAAGGCGACGAUCCUUAGCUGGUCUGAGAGGAUGAUCAGCCACACUGGAACUGAGACACGGUCCAGACUCCUACGGGAGGCAGCAGUGGGGAAUAUUGCGCAAUGGGCGAAAGCCUGACGCAGCCAUGCCGCGUGUGUGAAGAAGGCCUUCGGGUUGUAAAGCACUUUCAAUUGGGGAGAAAGGUUGCGUGUUAAUAGCACGUAGCUGUGACGUUACCUUUAGAAGAAGCACCGGCUAACUCCGUGCCAGCAGCCGCAGUAACAC
rnacentral:rRNA from 1 species